UUCGUAGGCGGUGCGGCAAGUUGGGAGUGAAAUCUCCAGGCUUAACUUGGAGGCUGCUUCCAAAACUGCCGUGCUCGAGUGCGGGAGAGGCCAGUGGAAUUGCAGGUGUAGCGGUGAAAUGCGUAGAUAUCUGCAGGAACACCCGUGGCGAAGGCGGCUGGCUGGACCGCAACUGACGCUGGAGGAACGAAAGCUAGGGGAGCAAACAGGAUUAGAUACCCCUGGUAGUCCUAGCCCUAAACCAUCAGGACUUGGGGUGGCCCGCGUAGCGGGUCGUCCCGUAGCUAACGCGUUAAGUCCUGCGCCUGGGGAGUACGGUCGCAAGACUGAA
rnacentral:rRNA from 1 species